CGCAAUGGGCGAAAGCCUGACGGAGCAACGCCGCGUGGGGGAAGAAGGCCUUUGGGUUGUAAACUCCUUUUCUCAGGGAAGAAGUUCUGACGGUACCUGAGGAAUCAGCCUCGGCUAACUCCGUGCCAGCAGCCGCGGUAAUACGGAGGAGGCAAGCGUUAUCCGGAAUUAUUGGGCGUAAAGCGUUCGUAGGCGGCAUUUCAAGUCUGCUGUCAAAGGCCGAGGCUCAACUUCGGAAAGGCAGUGGAAACUGAAAAGCUAGAGGU
rnacentral:rRNA from 1 species